UACGGCCACAUCUCAUUGAAACACUGCUUCUCAUACGAUCACAGAAGUUAAGGUACGUCAAGCGUUGUCAGUAUCUAGAUGAGUGACAACUUGCGAAUACCAGGUGCUGUAAG